UAUAUAAUAAGUUAAAAAAACUAAAAGCCUUCAAAGCUUUAUUUAUUCUAU
rnacentral:tRNA from 1 species